CCUACGGGAGGCAGCAGUGGGGAAUUUUGGACAAUGGGCGAAAGCCUGAUCCAGCAAUGCCGCGUGCAGGAAGAAGGCCUUCGGGUUGUAAACUGCUUUUGUACGGAACGAAACGGUCUGCUUUAAUACAGUGGGCUAAUGACGGUACCGUAAGAAUAAGCACCGGCUAACUACGUGCCAGCAGCCGCGGUAAUACGUAGGGUGCGAGCGUUAAUCGGAAUUACUGGGCGUAAAGCGUGCGCAGGCGGUUAUAUAAGACAGUUGUGAAAUCCCCGGGCUCAACCUGGGAAUUGCAUCUGUGACUGUAUAGCUAGAGUACGGUAGAGGGGGAUGGAAUUCCGCGUGUAGCAGUGAAAUGCGUAGAUAUGCGGAGGAACACCGAUGGCGAAGGCAAUCCCCUGGACCUGUACUGACGCUCAUGCACGAAAGCGUGGGGAGCAAACAGGAUUAGAUACCCUGGUAGUCCACGCCCUAAACGAUGUCAACUGGUUGUUGGGUGCAUUAGUACUCAGUAACGAAGCUAACGCGUGAAGUUGACCGCCUGGGGAGUACGGCCGCAAGGUUGAAACUCAAAUGAAUUGACGGNUGAGACGNGCGAGACGACGACGAGGGAGGAGG
rnacentral:rRNA from 1 species